AUUGAACGCUGGCGGCAGGCCUAACACAUGCAAGUCGAACGAGUGGCGGACGUGUAAGUAAUGUCUGGGAAACUGCGUGAUGGAGGGGGAUAACUUCUGAAACCGGUAUCUAAUACCGCAUACCCUCAGAUGUGCCCAGAUGGGAUUAGCUAGUUGGUGGGGUAACGGCUCACCCAGGCCACGCUCCCUAGCUGGUUUGAGAGGAUGACCAGCCACACUGGAACGGAGACACGGUCCAGACUCCUACGGGAGGCAGCAGUGGGGAAUAUUGCACAAUGGGCGCAAGCCUGAUGCAGCCAUGCCGCGUGUAUGAAGAAGGCCGUCGGGUUGUAAAGUACUUUCAGCGGGGAGGCGUUACCCGCAGAAGAAGCACCGGCUAACUCCGUGCCAGCAGCCGCGGUAAUUC
rnacentral:rRNA from 1 species